rnacentral:rRNA from 1 species
CUUGGGAAACUGCCUGAUGGAGGGGGAUAACUACUGGAAACGGUAGCUAAUACCGCAUAACGUCUUCGGACCAAAGUGGGGGACCUUCGGGCCUCAUGCCAUCAGAUGUGCCCAGAUGGGAUUAGCUAGUAGGUGGGGUAAUGGCUCACCUAGGCGACGAUCCCUAGCUGGUCUGAGAGGAUGACCAGCCACACUGGAACUGAGACACGGUCCAGACUCCUACGGGAGGCAGCAGUGGGGAAUAUUGCACAAUGGGCGCAAGCCUGAUGCAGCCAUGCCGCGUGUAUGAAGAAGGCCUUCGGGUUGUAAAGUACUUUCAGCGAGGAGGAAGGCAUUAAGGUUAAUAACCUUAGUGAUUGACGUUGCUCGCAGAAGAAGCACCGGCUAACUCCGUGCCAGCAGCCGCGGUAAUACGGAGGGUGCAAGCGUUAAUCGGAAUUACUGGGCGUAAAGCGCACGCAGGCGGUCUGUCAAGUCGGAUGUGAAAUCCCCGGG